AUUGACCAGUGAGUCUUGUCUUUUCUCAAAUUACUUUCUGAGUCUCCAGACCACCUGUUCACCAUACAGGAUGUUGACGUUUACGUUUUUGCUCCUGGCUUUGUCAAGUCUCCAUGCUGCCCCACUGAGGGAUGAUGUAGUGGCACCCCCUAGAGGUAGGCUUCAGGAUCGCAAGGUCCUGGUUCUGCCCCGGAGCGUCCCAGUGAGGGAUCAUGUAGUGUCAUCCCCUAGAGGUAGACUUCAGGAUCGCAA